GCAAACUUGGUCAUUUAGAGGAAGUAAAAGUCGUAACAAGGUCUCCGUAGGUGAACCUGCGGAGGGAUCAUUACCGAGUGAGGGCGUCCCGCCCGACCUCCAACCCCAUGUGAACCGACCUCUGUUGCUUCGGGGGCGACCCUGCCGUUUCCAUGGCGAGCGCCCCCGGAGGUCCUCCAACACUGCAUCCGUGCGUCGGAGUCUUCAAUCAAAUUGAACAAAACUUUCAACAACGGAUCUCUUGGUUCUGGCAUCGAUGAAGAACGCAGC
rnacentral:misc_RNA from 1 species